AUGGUGGUAGUCACAGGGCAGAACAAAGCCAGUGGAAAUCUGGACGAUGCCAUGUCGAGUUCAGAUGCAGAGGAUGAUUUCCAAGACCCUGCCACUCCUACUGCAACUCAGGCAGGGCACUCACUGCCUCUGCUGCCUCAGCAGUUCCCAGAAGUUGUUCCGCUUAAUGUAGGAGGCAUGUAUUUCGCUACCAGGCUGUCAACACUAAGACGUUAUGAAGAUACCAUGUUGGCUGCUAUGUUUAGUGGAAGACACUACAUUCCAACAGAUGCUCAAGGCAGAUAUUUUAUUGACAGAGACGGAACUUACUUUGGAGAUGUUCUUAACUUUCUGCGAUCUGGUGACCUGCCAUCGAGAGAACGAGUGAGGUCAGUUUACAAGGAAGCUCAAUAUUAUUCCAUAGGACCAUUGCUGGACAAUCUAGAGGAAGUCCAGCCUCUUAAGGGAGAAAAAGUUAGACAAGCUUUCCUGGGCUUAAUGCCAUAUUACAAAGAACACUUGGAGCGGAUAAUUGAAAUAGCUAAGCUUAGAGCCAUGCAGAGAAAAGCAAGAUUUGCAAAGUUGAAGAUCUGUGUUUUCAAGGAAGAAAUGCCCAUCACCCCAUAUGAGUGUCCACUUUUCAACUCUCUACGUUUUGAAAGAAGUGAAAGCGAGACAAAACUGUUUGAACAUCACUGUGAAGUAGAUGUAUCUUUUGGCCCCUGGGAGGCUGUAGCUGAUGUAUACGAUCUUCUGCACUGUAUUGUGACAGACCUGUCAGACAAGGGAAUUACUGUGGAUCAUCAGUGCAUUGGUGUGUGUGAUAAACAUCUGAUAAACCAUUAUUACUGCAAGCGCCCCAUCUAUGAAUUCAAGAUUACUUGGUGAAACUGAGAAGAAUUGUGCAGGAGGAUGUCAGGGGAGUAUACUCCGUAACUGCUUUAAAUAACUUUAUUGACUUGACUUUUUCUUGGCGUAUACCAUCACAUUUUGCAAGUUCUAAAUUUGGAAAAAAACAAAACAAAACACUGAUCUGUUAACCCUCAUAUAUAUUUAAUGAAUGCUGUAUAGAUGUAGAAUGACUCCAAACAUCUGCAUAACAAUGGAUUUUUUUCAGUGACCUUAGAACCUCUCUUAGGGCUUAUAUACCCAGGCACAUCCAAGAAAAUUAAUCCAGAUAAUUAAAGGUGUGACUUUAAAGUGGAUUAGUUAAACUUCAUUAAAUCUCUUUGUGGGUGCUGUUAUUCAGAAUUAAACUGAAUUAAGGCCACUUUAUCUUUUAGUUCACUUCCAAACUGAAUUAAGGCCAUUGCUAUUUUGUAUAAAGAAGUUCUCGCAGGGUUUUAAUUUGGUUUAACUAAUCCACUUCAUAUUCACACUUUUAGCUAACUCAGAUUAAUUUUCCUGGAUGUCCCUGUGUAGACAAGCCCUUAAUCAAACACUCUAUCUCUAGUCAGUUAUGUCCGUGCAGAUCUCUCCUCCUAUCUGCCUAUUUCUCUAUCUCUGCCUAGUCCAAAGGCUGGUCUACACUAGGAACUUAUAUUUGUAUAGCUACAUCUCUCACACCCCCUGAGAAACAUAGCUGAGAAACAUACUAACCUAACCCCUGUGUAGACAGCGAUAGAAGAAUUCUUCUAUUGACCUAGCUACUGCCUCUUGGGGAGGUGGAUUACCUACACCAUCGGUGUAGGUAGUAGUGUCUAAACUGAAGUGCUAUAGCAGUGCAGCUGCAGCAUUAAAGUGUAGACACACCCUAAAAGUAUUUAUACCACUCUGUCACUGUAGUAUCUGAGCACUUGUAAGGUAUCUUUUCUGUGCAGAAUCUGUCGCUUAUCUGGAUAAAUAUCAGGGCCUCCGUUCCAUUCUGAUAAAUGGAUCAUGUGGUUGUUUCAUGUCAUCAACAUAGUUUUGUUAUGAAAGUCAUGCUGCCCUGCCUGUUGUCAAAGGAACAGUAAGUGCAGCCUGUUUAGCCCAAAAUGUACGUACCUAAAAGUAUGGUGCAUCUUUCGCAGCAUCUUUGGAGAGGAUGCCUAUCAUUUUUUGGUUCUCCAGUGAUGCCGAAGGGAACCUGCUAAUAUUAUGAAUGACGAUUUCAGUGAGCUCCUGCUCCCCUCCUCUCCCAUUCCAGUUUUCCAGCUGUAAGAGGCAUAAGGAGAUCAAGUGACUAGCCUGAGGACACACAUUGAGGUAAUGACUGUGACUGGAUUCUUCCUUGUUCCCUGCCCUUUGUUCUAACCUCUACAUCAUACAUAUAUAGUCUACUUAAAUGCUCUAGGUUUAGGAAGUUUAUCUCGUAUGCAGGAGAUUCAACAUCUAUAUUGAGAGCCAGAAUACACUGCCUUCAUUUAAAAAAUCCCUGGAAGUUAUCGGCUGGCAGCUGCUAUAAAGACACUGAAGAGGUGUCCUUGAGUCAAACAGAGUUGUCUUAUUUCUAUUGUUGCUCCCCUCCUCUUUUGCAUCUCCCUUUGUUUCACCACUCUCCUUUUACUCCCUAUAGAGCAUUAGUCAUUUUUUUUAAAGUAACAUCAAUUUACACAAUCAGUUCAUAGUUCUUGUAGGUUGUUUUUAGGAAUGUAAUGAAUUUAGGCCAAGGAUGCCCGUACUUUGGGAUUCUGAGGGGCUUACUGGUGGACUUGCCAGAUCCUGAGGACUACAUCAUAUCUGUGUCUCUUCCUGUUCUUCAUCUUAAAUUAGGACUUGAUUCUACAAACCUGGUGGAAGGCCGUGAUCUUUUGGCCUCAGCCAGCAAUAGUGGUCACGAGGCACACUCUUUCCCCCAGCUUAUCUUCACAGGUCACCCUGGCUUAUGGAUGACCUGGGGGAAAUGACAUGAUAAGGAAGACAGAUGCGCUGGUGGUGAAAGUCUCAUGCCAAAGCUGAUAGUUUGCAUCACACAGAUUUCUUGAAUUCUCAUGCUGUGGUAGUGCAGGAGGCAAAGAAAUGUUUAUCUCCAUCGUAGCAUCUGUAAGGUCUGUUGGUGGAUCAGUUCCUGGUGGUGGAUAGCUUGGCUAAUCUGGGUUGUCUGCACCUGGUUGCCAAUACGAGUCCCUUCUGUUGUAAGGUAAUGCAGGUCAUUUUGGGGGUAAAAUGGAUCAGAUUGGGACUAAGUAUGUCUAUGGAGGCAGGGUUUCCCCUGCUUGAGUUUCAGCCAAGGUUGCUUAGAGUCUGUGGGUGUGUUGGAAGAACUUCAUGCCAUAUCCUGUGCUUAGAAUCCUUGUGCUUCCUGGGUGGGAAAGCUCAGUGCAGAAGUACUGGGUCAUACAACUGCUCACCAGCCAGAAAGGGCAAUGAUACAAAGCACAGAAUAUAGCAUGAAGUUCUCCCAACACAUCCAGAGCCUCUGUGAGCUAGCGCCCGGGACACUUUGGACACAGCUGGCUUAAGUGAUCACUGGCAGUACUGAACCUUGUAGUUAUGCUGAUCUAUAUGGUUACUUACAGCUUCAAAAAAGAAUAAAGUUUUGUAAUGCUUUUUGGAUUGUCCCUUGCACUAUAGAGGAGAUCAAAGAUGGUUUUUAAAUUUUUAAUUGUUUAAAAUUUUUAAAAACAAACCUUCAAGGUUGUUUCAUUUUUCUUUCUGUGGAUAAGAUGAGUCUGAUCUGGGAAUUAUAUUUAUGUAUUUAAUACAGAUCUUCAGAUGGAUGUUACUUUCCAGGACAAGAAUUUUUGGUCAUUUUACUUUCACAGGUUUAGUAUGAGUUUACAGAUAGUGCUUCAGUGGGACUUUUAUAAGAGGAUUUUUAUUUUGUCAUGUUUUACAUUUUGUCAGCAAGAUGUUGUCUCUGUGCAUUAUAAUCCUGACUGCCUUUGAAAAAACAAUCCUAGAUACUGAUUGGAAGUUGGAGAUAUUCAGUGUCUGCAAAUGUGUGGGGUUGUUUUUACAUUUUAAAUAAGUUUGUGAAUAAUGUUAAUUUAAUAUUGUGGAUACUGUAUCACUUACUGUGUCUUACUAUGUAUUACUUUUCAAUUCCAUGUAAACUAUGUAAUCUAUGUAUUUCAUUUAAUAUGUGUAAAAGAAAAAUUAUGUAUAGUCUGUGUUGUGAAAUAAAAUAUAUUAACUUGUCUUCUUAUAAUCUGAACAAAUAUAGAUGAGCACAAUAGCCUCUCAACCCAAAUCUGAUUUCAGAAAGUUUUGAAGAAAGAAUUAAUCUGUUGGGUUUUAUCUACAGUAGAGACAGAAAUGGCCUUGCCACACACUAACUAAAACAUUAAAGGCAUUAAUAGGAUAAGAAAGGUUUUAUUUGACUUAAUGGGUCCAAUGCUGCUCCUGUUGUCUUCUUUCUGAGUCCGUGUUUGGCUUGAGCUCUGGUACCUUAAAAAAAAAUCAGUGGCUGAAGUCAUAGCCUGGGAACUCUGCCCCACUUCUCAGUACCUCCUGAAAUAUUGUUGAGCAUGGUGACUCAUUGACAUCAAUGGUCUGCCUUCCUCUCUUUGGUAUGUCCAUGUUGGGGCUGUUGUGCAUGAGAGAGGCUUCCCUUGCUCUGUCAUUGCAGUGCCUCCUUCCCCAUCUCAUCGAGUGGGAGUGGAUGGACCCUAGGUCCUCUGUGUAACAGAUAAUUGAUUGGGGUGAGAAGUAAGACACCAUACUACCCAUUCAAACUUACUUAGGUGGUGGAGAUUCCCACUAGCAGGAUGAAUGCAGUGUUUACAGUCUCACUUUGUGGUGGAAAGAUUUUGCCCUUGUUUCAAUUAGACAUUUACAAAUCCCUCCCCUCGCAUCAUUCAAAUUGUCAGUUUGCUAGUUCCUUUCCUACUUAGCCUCUUGUUCAGGCAGCUCUUGCCACAAGCUAGACGACGCUGAAACUAGGAGCAAGAAGCUUAAUGGCAGUGCUGAGCUGCAUGUGCUCAAUAAUUCAAAUGCAGCUCAAUUCAUUUCACCAGAAUUUACCAAAAAACCCACACCCCAGACACAACCAACCCAACAACCACUCCUCAUGUCUGUGGUGAGAGCUGGAAAGUUUCAGACCCAAAGGUGAAAGUUAGAGCCUAUGUCAAUGGAAG